GGUAAGAUGGCCGAGGGUAAGGCGGUGGCUUGUAGCUCCACUUAGGGAGGUUAGAGUCCUCCUCUUAUCA
rnacentral:tRNA from 1 species